UGAUGUCUGUGUCCUUGACUCAUUAAGACCACUGGGCUUUGUUUGGUCCUCCUCCCUGUGCGAUGCAUCAGUACUGCCUUCUAAGCUGGAGCAAUUACAGAAACCCCAGUAAAGGCUGUGGCCUAAACCUUUACCUCACUGCUACUCUGGUGUCUUUCCCAUGAGCCCAAGUCUGCCAAGCUUUGCUUCUUGUUUCCAGGAAGGCACUAACCUGCUGUUUCAAGACAGGAACAUAAAGAGCCACAGGGAUUGUGCCAAGGCAAG